rnacentral:sRNA from 1 species
UGUUUUCUUCUUUUUCUUUUUGUAGAUUGAUCACUCGAUAGUGGAGAGUUAUGGUGGAGGAGGCAGAACAUGUAUAACCUCAAGAGUGUAUCCAAAAUUGGCAAUCGGAGAAAAUGCAAAUCUGUUUGUCUUCAACAAAGGCACUCAAAGUGUUGAUAUCUUGACCCUAAGUGCUUGGAGUUUAAAGUCUGCUCAAAUCAAUGGCGACUUAAUGUCACCAUUUAUUGAGCGUGAAGAGUCACGCUCACCUAAUCAUCAGUUUUGAAUGAAAAAUAUUUUACAUUGUACGGGUAAAACGAAAUAUAUAAGAGAUUAUUACAUAUUAAGAGAUAUUAAC